rnacentral:lncRNA from 1 species
GUUACUUUAUUUUUUAUUUGUAUUUAUCAGUAAUAUUUUUACAAAUGGAUGAAUAAUUCUAUAAGCAUAAUGAUAUUGUAAAAAGAAAAAAAAAAUGAAUCUGUCUAAUUACUAUGGUGCUAAGAAUUAAUACAUUUCAUCUUAUUUGCUGGAUGGUUAGGGUUUAACAUGUCGGGUGCAGCACACAUCUUCUACGACUCGAUCGAACCCUUAUGUAACAUGAGAAUUUUGUCUCAAAACAAAUCAUCUCAAAGGUUCGCUUCGUAGUUAGAUAUAUUCCUUUAUCAAUUCCAAUGAUUGAUCUGUCUAUCGAAUCUCACUUCAUUCUGACUCAAAGAAUACAUAAACUCGAUCAAGUCAAAUUGACAAUCAAAAUCGACACAAGCAAGAACCACGUCGAGCAUGAGAAGUGGUAGGCCUAACCCUAAUCCAUUUGAUCAUGAUCAGGUUUCUCUUACCGAAUCCAGCAUCACUUUAACUUCGAAGUUUCUAUAGAUUAUAGAGAGAGAGAAAGAGAGAGAGUCUGCAAAUCUACCUUUUCUUGGCAGUAGUCUUAUCCGAAAGUUGGUCAGCAGAAGAGGGAGGGGAACACUGAAAGUGAGACAAAGAGCAGUCUCUUAUCGCACCUCAACGCGUGCUCUUCCCGAAUCACGAGCUGCUCUACUCGUCCGAGCAUGGCAACUCCCACACCCACCAAAAGGAAACGCAUCGAUGCAUGUCCUCGAGUUGAUUCGAUAAUGUCCUCGAGUUGAUAAUGGCUCGCACUCGGCCGCUCCACUUUGCUGCGGGUGGCCGUCGUCUUCGGCAUAUCGUCAAACCAUGUGUCACCACAUCUUCGUGUCCAUCAGUAGAGAUUGAGGUGGAGAAGAUAGCAGCAACACGAACCGCUUACUGUCAG